rnacentral:rRNA from 1 species
UACGUAGGGUGCAAGCGUUAAUCGGAAUUACUGGGCGUAAAGCGUGCGCAGGCGGUUAUGUAAGUCCGGUGUGAAAUCCCCGGGCUUAACCUGGGAACUGCAUUUGUGACUGCAUAGCUAGAGUACGGUAGAGGGGGAUGGAAUUCCGCGUGUAGCAGUGAAAUGCGUAGAUAUGCGGAGGAACACCGAUGGCGAAGGCAAUCCCCUGGACCUGUACUGACGCUCAUGCACGAAAGCGUGGGGAGCAAACAGG